rnacentral:lncRNA from 1 species
UAUUGUAGUAGGAGAAAUCGCAUCAGGUACUGCAGUAGGAGCAGGAACUGGAUUGGUAGUUGCUGGAGCAGGGAUGGGUUGUGUUGAUUGCACUGGUGGUUGAUAUCUCUGAGUAGGCGUUACGGUUGACGGCCUAGCAGGUGCCUCCUCUACUUGUGCUGGCCCAUUUGAUGUGAGAUUUCCUGCAACACUAAAGGGAAAAACAUUUUCAUGAAACAACACAUGACGUGAGGUAUAAAUCCUCGAGUUAGUACGAUCAAGACAAAAAUAAGCGCUCUGUGUAAUAGAGUAUCCUAAGAACACACAAGGUGUUGAGCGAGCAUCAAGUUUGUUAGAUGCAUAUGGCCUGAGCCAGGGGAAACACAAGCAGCCAAAAACUUUUAAUUUUUUAAAGUUUGGAGUCUGAGAAAACAGAAUUUGAAAUGGCGACUUGAGUUGAAGUAGAGGUGUAGGCAUACGGUUAAUUAAGUAUACUGCAGCUGCAAAUGCAUAAGUCCAAUAUGACCGAGGCAUUGAAGCAUGAGACAGUAGAGCUAAGCCUGUUUCGACUAUAUGUAUGUGGCGUCGCUCAGCUAGUCCAUUGUGCUCAGGGGUGUGAGGUGGAGUUGUAAAAUGAGAAAUACCAUGACUAGCUAGAAAACUCGAAAAAAUGUACUCACCACCAUUUUCAGUGUACAAGGUCUUAAGUUUGAACUGAAAUCGAUUUUCAACUAGAGAUCGAAAUUUUGAAAAAACUUCAAAAACCUGAGACUUUUGUUUCAAGGGAUAAAUCCAUGUGUAUCUUGUGAAAUGAUCCACGAAGAUAACAUAAUAUUUGAAACCAUCUACUGAAAUUAUUGGUGAAGUCCACACAUCAGAAAAAACAAUAUCAAGAGGAUGAUUAGAUUGCAAAGUUGAAGUAGAAAACGGUAACUUGUGCAUCUUAUUGAUAGAACAAGCAUUGCAAGGCUUGUCUAAUAAAGCGUUUGAUGAAACUGGUAAAUGAAAAGCAGAAACAAUAUGUUUUAAGAUAGGAACAGCCGGAUGGCCUAAACGAGAAUGCCAAUCUGAGAGAGUGGUUUUGAUGGUGGAAGCAAACGCAAGAGAUGGACGAUGGGAGGAACUCGGAGUUGGCCACUCGUAUGUUCCAUCUUUAGGCUUGCCUUCCAGCCGAAGGGUUCCCGUUUGGAGGUCUCUCACCUGAUAAUAAGUUGGAGUAAAGGUCACAGAAACGCCGUUAGUUGAGCAAAGUUGAAAAACAGAUAUGAGAUUUUUUGCAAGUGAAGGAACACAUAGAACUUUGUUAAUAAAGAAGGGACGAGUGUAAGUGGGAAUAGAGAAAGAACCGGUGUGUGAUAUCUGGAGACCCGAGCCGUCUCCAAGCAUCACAUCGUCACUGCCAUUGUAAGGUGCGUGGAGAGAGAGAUUGCUGAGAUCAGAGGUCAUGUGGUGUGAGGCUCCGGAGUCCAGCAGCCAAGUUGAGGAGUCGGAAAGAAUUGCUGGAUUAGCUCUUGGCUGCCAUGGUUGUGUGGCAAACUGCCACUGCUGUGGGUUGGGAGAGGAUUGCCAUUGUUGAGUUGCUUGAGACCCACGUACAAUACGAAACUCAGGGCAAAACUUGGCACUAUGGCCAUGAACACCACACGCUUGGCACCGACCUUGAUACUGUCCUCUUCCUCCACGUUGUUGAUUGUUUUGGUACUGGCGAUUGUUGUUGUUGUUGUGGGGACGAGAGUUUUGAUUGCUACGUCCUUGCUGGUUGUUGUUGGAUCUCCAUGAUCGAGUAUCAGUUGCAUUAGCCACGAUAGGUGUUUCUUGAGGAGUUUCGGUGCACAGAAGCAUAGCUUCACGGUUAAGUAACCGCUCAUGUAGCUCAGCGAAGGAGAUGAAAUGAUCUCUGCCAUUAAUGGCAUCAAUCUCAGGCUUGUACUCUUCACCGAGUCCAACGAGGAUUUGUUCUGUUAGAUCUUCAGGAUCCAUCGGUUUCCCAAGCAGAGCCAAAUCGUCAACCUUGGCUUUGAUGAUGCGCAGGUAUUCUGAGAUGGUUUUGGUGCCCUUGGUACAACUUUUGAUUUGAUGUUUGAGCUGGCGGAUGUGACCUCGUGUCGGAUUUCCAAAGGCAGUAGCGAGGAGGCUCCAAAUCUCAGCUGAAGUUGUGGCGCUGGAGACGAUGGAUUGAACCGGAAGGGAGAUGGCUCCGAUCAUGGCGCUGAACAAGAGGCCAUCUUGACGUCUCCAGGCAGCGAAGGCAGGGUUCGGCGUAGCUUGGCCUUCGAGUAAAGCCGUGACUUGCUUACUCCACAUAAGAUAGUUGACGUUGGUGAGUUUGGUGACACUCGACAUGUUCACGGAGAGCAACGUACUUUGAGGGUUUCGAACAUUGAAAACAGAGGUCUGUUCAAUGGAUGCAGAGCUUUCAGUGUUCAUGAUGUCUCAGAGAAUCAAGGAAUGAAGAAACAUAGAUACAGAGAAAGGAACGGGAGAGAAGAAGAGAAGAAGAUGGAGGCGCAGAGAAAAAAAAAAAUUUUAGGUCAAGGAAGCCGACAUGACGCUCUGUUUCGUUCGUUACUCCAACAGCUCGUUUUUCAACCGGAACGAUUCAACGCCGACACAAGCAGAGUAUUUCACUAAAAGGUUCGAGGGUGAUCUUGCAGCUUAUACCAGAACGUGGGAGGCUUUUAUGUACUUCAUGACCACCCGAAUCGGUCAAACUCAUUACCUGGCGGAUAUGUCCCCUCUGAUAGGUUCUGAA